CGGGGUGUAGCGCAGUCCGGUUAGCGCACUUGAUUUGGGAUCAAGGAGUCGGAGGUUCGAAUCCUCUCACCCCGACCA
rnacentral:tRNA from 1 species